rnacentral:rRNA from 1 species
UAGGGAAUAUUGGGCAAUGGUCGGAAGACUGACCCAGCCAUGCCGCGUGCAGGAAGAAGGCGUUCUGCGUUGUAAACUGCUUUUAUCUGGGAAGAAAAGGCCCGUGCGCGGGACAUUGCCGGUACCAGAUGAAUAAGCACCGGCUAACUCCGUGCCAGCAGCCGCGGUAAUACGGAGGGUGCAAGCGUUGUCCGGAUUUAUUGGGUUUAAAGGGUGCGUAGGCGGCUAUUUAAGUCAGCGGUGAAAGACUUCGGCUCAACCGGAGCAGUGCCAUUGAUACUGGAUAGCUUGAGUGUUGGAGGGGUACAUGGAAUUGAUGGUGUAGCGGUGAAAUGCAUAGAUACCAUCAGGAACACCGAUAGCGAAGGCAUUGUACUGGCCAACAACUGACGCUGAGGCA